GUGGGGAAUAUUGCACAAUGGGCGAAAGCCUGAUGCAGCAACGCCGCGUGAGUGAUGAAGGUCUUCGGAUUGUAAAGCUCUGUCUUUUGGGACGAUAAUGACGGUACCAAAGGAGGAAGCCACGGCUAACUACGUGCCAGCAGCCGCGGUAAUACGUAGGUGGCGAGCGUUGUCCGGAUUUACUGGGCGUAAAGGGUGCGUAGGCGGAUGUUUAAGUGAGAUGUGAAAUACCCGGGCUUAACUUGGGUGCUGCAUUUCAAACUGGAUAUCUAGAGUGCAGGAGAGGAGAAUGGAAUUCCUAGUGUAGCGGUGAAAUGCGUAGAGAUUAGGAAGAACACCAGUGGCGAAGGCGAUUCUCUGGACUGUAACUGACGCUGAGGCACGAAAGCGUGGGUAGCAAACAGGAUU
rnacentral:rRNA from 1 species